GACGAACGCUGGCGGCGUGCUUAACACAUGCAAGUCACGGGGGGUUGGAGCAAUCCGAGCAACCGGCGAACGGGUGCGUAACACGUGAGCGACCUGCCCAGUUGUGGGGGAUAGCCGGCCCAACGGCCGGGUAAUACCGCAUACGCGUCUUUGGGGGCAUCCCUGGGGACGGAAACCUACGGGGCGAUUGGAGGGGCUCGCGGCCUAUCAGCUAGUUGCGAGGUAACGGCUCACCAAGGCGAUGACGGGUAGCUGGUCUGAGAGGAUGGCCAGCCACAUUGGGACUGAGAGACGGCCCAGACUCCUACGGGAGGCAGCAGUGGGGAAUCUUGCGCAAUGGCCGAAAGGGCUGACGCAGCGACGCCGACGUGGAGGA
rnacentral:rRNA from 1 species